GCUCGCAUAUUGCCCCGCAUGGGUGGAGC
rnacentral:sRNA from 1 species